AAGCUCGUAGUUGAAUUUCGGAGUUUGUCGGUUGGUCGGGCUUCACUGUCCGCACUGGCCCGAUAGAUUCCUACCUUCUGAAUAACCAGCAUGCUAUUAAUUUAGUGCGUUGGGGAAGCAGAGCUAUUACCUUGAAAAAAUUAAGAGUGCUUAAAGCAGGCUUAUGCUUGAAUAGAUUAGCGUGGAAUAAUAAAAUAGGACGGCUUGGUUCUAUUUUGUUGGUUUCUAGGAUCACCGUAAUGAUUAAUAGGGAUAGUUGGG
rnacentral:rRNA from 1 species